rnacentral:rRNA from 1 species
UACGUAGGGGGCUAGCGUUGUCCGGAAUCCUUGGGCGUAAAGAGCGUGUAGGCGGCCCGGUAAGUCCGCUGUGAAAGUCGGGGGCUCAACCCUCGAAUGCCGGUGGAUACUGUCGGGCUAGAGUGCGGAAGAGGCGAGUGGAAUUCCUGGUGUAGCGGUGAAAUGCGCAGAUAUCAGGAGGAACACCAAUUGCGAAGGCAGCUCGCUGGGACGGUACUGACGCGGAGACGCGAAAGCGUGGGGAGCGAACAGG